CGUUAGUUGCAGAGAGAGGAACGAAAAGAGACAUGGAAGAAUGGCGAGAAUUCGGUUGAAUGAGUUCGACUCCCAUGACUGAUCUUGUGGAAGUCGCAGGCAGGCGAAUGUUCUGCACCGCUCUGCUCCGGUGUGAUUGCUUGUCCUAGCUCGUCGAUCAGGGAGUGUGAUCUGGCUGGAAACUGGCCGGUUUCUCUCGUCAGCCGAAGCUGUCGUGUGCCAUGUAUGCUAGAUAUCUCUCUCGCGUUUUCCUUCACAAAGGGGCGGGCGAUCGAGGACGACGACACACGACAGCUAAUGCAGUCACGCUCGUACAGCUUGCACGUUGCAUAAUCGAGCCUGCGAUAAGAAUCUCGAUUUGUUGGCAGCUAGGGCCCAGGGCUCGCUGUCUGUCUCUCUGUCUGUGAUUAUUGCCAAUCAAGUUCCCGAGCGUUUCCAUUGGCGGAUAAGUACUACUACGAUUUUCUGAUAAGUUUUUUUUUCUGUUUUAAGACGACGACAGCUAGCCAAGCUGACAGCGCAGGCAUGCGUCGCAGUUCCACGGCGUGCGCUCGGCCAUAUUCUUGGUUCGAUUUGUUUGUAGCGGCGCUGCACAUAUGCUUGUGGCCAUCUUUCGGUUGUUCGCUAAUUCACAGUAUUACAUGACUUAUGUUUUGCUACAUUGCUCGCGUAGUUUCAUCUUCUAUAACUUUCUACGACUGAAUACGAGAUUCCU
rnacentral:lncRNA from 7 species